GACGGAGGAUGCGAGCGUUAUCCGGAUUCAUUGGGUUUAAAGGGUGCGUAGGCGGCUUCUUAAGUCAGUGGUGAAAUCCUGCGGCUCAACCGUAGAACUGCCAUUGAUACUGAUAAGCUUGAAUAUAGUUGAGGUAGGCGGAAUGAGUAGUGUAGCGGUGAAAUGCUUAGAUAUUACUCAGAACACCGAUUGCGAAGGCAGCUUACCAAGUUAUAAUUGACGCUGAGGCACGAAAGCGUGGGGAUCAAACAGG
rnacentral:rRNA from 1 species